rnacentral:rRNA from 1 species
AGGAUGAACGCUGGCGGCGUGCCUAACACAUGCAAGUCGAACGUCCUGUCUCGCAAGAGGCAGGGAGUGGCGGACGGGUGAGUACCACGUGGGUUAUCUACCGUGAGGUGAGGAAUACCGGCGAGAAAUCGCCGACAAGACCGCAUAGCCUCGGUGCAAGCCGAGCAAAGCUCUUUCGAGAGAGGGAGCGCCACACGAGGAGCCUGCGCCCGAUUAGCUAGCUGGUGGAGUAACGGUUCACCAGGGCGACGAUCGGUAGCUGGUCUGAGAGGACGAUCAGCCACACUGGGAUUGAGAACGGCCCAGGCUCCUACGGGGGGCAGCAGUGAGGAAUUUUCGUCAAUGGGGGCAACCCUGAACGAGCAACGCCGCGUGCAGGAAGAAGGUUUUCGGAUCGUAAACUGCUUUUCUCGGGGAAGAGAACGGACGGUACCCGAGGAAUCAGCCCCGGCUAACUACGUGCCAGCAGCCGC